AUACGGAGGGUGCAAGCGUUAAUCGGAAUUACUGGGCGUAAGGAGUACGUAGGUGGUUUGUUAAGUCAGAUGUGAAAGCCCCGGGCUCAACCUGGGAACUGCAUUUGAAACUGGCAAGCUAGAGUAUGGUAGAGGGGGGUAGAAUUUCUAGUGUAGCGGUGAAAUGCGUAGAUAUUAGAAGGAAUACCAGUGGCGAAGGCGGCCCCCUGGACCAAUACUGACACUGAGGUACGAAAGCGUGGGUAGCGAACAGGAUUAGAAACCCUAGUAGUCC
rnacentral:rRNA from 1 species